rnacentral:rRNA from 1 species
AUUGAACGCUGGCGGCAGGCUUAACACAUGCAAGUCGAGCGAGCGGCGGACGGGUGAGUAAUGUCUGGGAAACUGCCUGAUGGAGGGGGAUAACUACUGGAAACGGUAGCUAAUACCGCAUACCAUCAGAUGUGCCCAGAUGGGAUUAGCUAGUAGGUGGGGUAAUGGCUCACCUAGGCGACGAUCCCUAGCUGGUCUGAGAGGAUGACCAGCCACACGGGAACUGAGACACGGUCCAGACCCCGACGGGGGGCAGCAGUGGGGAAUAGUGCACAAUGGGGGCAAGCCUGAUGCAGCCAUGCCGCGGUGGUGAAGAAGGCCUUCGGGUUGUAAAGGACUUUCAGCGGGGAGGCGUUACUCGCAGAAGAAGCACCGGCUAACUCCGUGCCAGCAGCCGCGGUAAUUC